UAGAGUUUGAUCAUGGCUCAGAUUGAACGCUGGCGGCAGGCCUAACACAUGCAAGUCGAGCGGUAACAGAGAUUAGCUUGCUAAUCUGCUGACGAGCGGCGGACGGGUGAGUAAUGCCUAGGAAGUUGCCCGGUAGAGGGGGAUAACUAUUGGAAACGAUGGCUAAUACCGCAUAAUCUCUAAGGAGCAAAGCAGGGGACCUGCGGGCCUUGUGCUACCGGAUACGCCUAGGUGGGAUUAGCUAGUUGGUGAGGUAAUGGCUCACCAAGGCGACGAUCCCUAGCUGGUCUGAGAGGAUGAUCAGCCACACUGGAACUGAGACACGGUCCAGACUCCUACGGGAGGCAGCAGUGGGGAAUAUUGCACAAUGGGCGAAAGCCUGAUGCAGCCAUGCCGCGUGUAUGAAGAAGGCCUUCGGGUUGUAAAGUACUUUCAGUUGUGAGGAAGGGGGUAAGCUUAAUACGCUUACCUCUUGACGUUAGCAACAGAAGAAGCACCGGCUAACUCCGUGCCAGCAGCCGCGGUAAUACGGAGGGUGCGAGCGUUAAUCGGAAUUACUGGGCGUAAAGCGCAUGCAGGUGGUUCAUUAAGUCAGAUGUGAAAGCCCGGGGCUCAACCUCGGAACUGCAUUUGAAACUGGUGAACUAGAGUGCUGUAGAGGGGGGUAGAAUUUCA
rnacentral:rRNA from 1 species